rnacentral:rRNA from 1 species
GAUGAACGCUGGCGGCGUGCCUAAUACAUGCAAGUCGAGCGAACAGACGAGGAGCUUGCUCCUCUGACGUUAGCGGCGGACGUGUGAGUAACACGUGGAUAACCUACCUAUAAUACUGGGAUAACUUCGGGAAACCGGAGCUAAUACCGUAUAAUAUAUUGAACCGCAUGGUUCAAUAGUGAAAGACGGUGUUUCUGUCACUUAUAGAUGGAUCCGCGCCGCAUUGGCUAGUUGGUAAGUUAACGGCUUACCAAGGCAACGAUGCGUAGCCGACCUGCGAGGGGGAUCGCCCGCCCGGGAACUGGGACAGGGUCAAGACUCCUAAGGGAGGCAGCAGUAGGGAAUCUGACGCAAUGGGGGAAAGCAUGACGGAGCAACGGCGAGUGAGAGAUGACAGCCUUGGGAUCGUGAAAAUCUGUUAUGAGGGAAGAACCAAUGUGUACGGAAACAUGCACGUAUUGACGGUAACGAAUAAGAAAGCAACGGCUAACUACGUG